GUGAGGAAUAUUGGUCAAUGGGCGGGAGCCUGAACCAGCCAAGUCGCGUGAAGGAAGAAGGAUCUAUGGUUCGUAAACUUCUUUUGCAGGGGAAUAAAGUGCAGGACGUGUCCUGUUUUGUAUGUACCCUGAGAAUAAGGAUCGGCUAACUCCGUGCCAGCAGCCGCGGUAAUACGGAGGAUCCGAGCGUUAUCCGGAUUUAUUGGGUUUAAAGGGUGCGUAGGUGGUUUGAUAAGUCAGCGGUGAAAGUUUGCAGCUUAACUGUAAAAAUGCCGUUGAAACUGUCGUGCUUGAGUGUAAAUGAGGUAGGCGGAAUGCGUGGUGUAGCGGUGAAAUGCAUAGAUAUCACGCAGAACUCCGAUUGCGAAGGCAGCUUACUAAGCUACAACUGACACUGAAGCACGAAAGCGUGGCGAUCAAACAGGAUUAGAUACCCCCGUAGUCC
rnacentral:rRNA from 1 species